UGUCCCUGGUCAGGGUAGAGUGGCAUCUGAUGGGUGGUGCCCAUCUCAUAUCAGGGACAAAGCAAUCCCCUGUGGAUCCCAGCUUGGCUUUUGAUCUGUGCACAUUCCUGGUUCAUGCCUUGAAUACGUGG
rnacentral:snoRNA from 1 species